UACGAAGGGGGCUAGCGUUGCUCGGAAUCAUUGGGCGUAAAGGGUGCGUAGGUGGCGUCGUAAGUCGGGUGUGAAAUCUCGGGGCUUAACUCCGAAACUGCAUUCGAUACUGCGGUGCUUGAGGACUGGAGAGGAGACUGGAAUUUACGGUGUAGCAGUGAAAUGCGUAGAGAUCGUAAGGAAGGCCAGUGGCGAAGGCGAGUUCCUGGACAGUUACUGACGCUGAGGCACGAAGGCCAGGGGAGCAAACGGG
rnacentral:rRNA from 1 species